rnacentral:lncRNA from 1 species
GGACGGAACGUACUGCUACUCUGGCAGGACCGCCGAGCUUUUGACACCCACCAUUCUUGCCAACACUACAAGGACGGUGUAUAAUAUAUCAUUCUGGUAUCACAUGUAUGGCUCAAGUAUGGGCGCAUUGAAUGUGUAUUUGACAGUACAAGGCAGGAAAACUCUCAUCUGGAUCGCUUCUGGAAACCAGGGCAACGCAUGGAAAUACGCUGAAGUGUUGAAACUCGCCAGCGGCAACUUCACGAUAACCUUCCAGGCCGUGUGUGGCGGGUCAUACAGCAAUGAUAUUGCUAUAGACGAUAUAUCUAUCAAGAAACAAGAAGGCGCUACAACCGUUCCCGACGAGAAGCUACAAG